UACAUGAAACAGCUCUAUCUCUACACUCCUAUUGAGCCUGUGUCAACCACCACUAAAUUCUUCAAGGGAAAAGGAAGAAGAUGAUUAUCUGGAUAACAUUGUUAAAAGGAGAAAAAAAUUUAAUAAUAAUCAUAAUAAAGGCCCUCAAGAUUUAUCAGACCACAGUGGUGAUGUUAUUGUAUCUGGGUCUUGUUCUAUCCGGUGAAAGCCCUUCUUCCAUAGCCUUCCUCUUGCUAUUGUUGGGUAGUUGUUGUGGUGGAGGCGGCGGCGGCGGUGGUGGUGGUGGUUGCAGUUCUUGGAUUUCUUCAUUUUCUUGUUUUUGGGUCUUUAUUUUUGUUUUCAUCAUAUGAGGUUUAAGUCUAUGCAAAUCUGAUAAUUGUACUGGCUUCAAGAAAAACUCUUCUGCUCCUUCCUCUAAACAUCUGGUGAUUCUUGAAGGAACAUUCUCAGAUGACAUUAU
rnacentral:misc_RNA from 1 species